CAAAGCAAAGAAGCGUUCAUUGACUGGGCAAGAUAUAAUGAUUCACAGGAUCACUUUUGUGAACUUGAUGGUAUUUAACAAAAAAUGCUACUCCAUUCCAGAGAUCACUUGAGAAGAUGACCCUUAUAGAUCAAAUAGUAGAUUUUU